GUGAUUGGAAUGAGUACACUUUAAAUCCUUUAACGAGGACCCAUUGGAGGGCAAGUCUGGUGCCAGCAGCCGCGGUAACUCCAGCUCCAAUAGCGUAUAUUAAAGUUGUUGCGGUUAAAAAGCUCGUAGUUGGAUUCCUGUUGCGAGCAGGCGGUGCCGUCUAUGGCGUGCACUGCCUGGCUCGGACAAUUCAUCGGACUGUUCGGGGUGCUCUUAACCGGGUGUCCCGAGUGGCCGAUACGUUUACUUUGAACAAAUUAGAGUGCUUAAAGCAGGUGCACUGCGCCUGAAUAUCACAGCAUGGAAUGAUGGAAUAGGACCUCGGUCUUAUUUUGUUGGUUUUCUGGACCCGAGGUCA
rnacentral:rRNA from 1 species